GAUGAACGCUGGCGGCGUGCCUAAUACAUGCAAGUCGAGCGAACAGAUGAGGAGCUUGCUCCUCUGACGUUAGCGGCGGACGGGUGAGUAACACGUGGAUAACCUACCUAUAAGACUGGGAUAACUUCGGGAAACCGGAGCUAAUACCGGAUAAUAUAUUGAACCGCAUGGUUCAACAGUGAAAGACGGUUUUGCUGUCACUUAUAGAUGGAUCCGCGCCGCAUUAGCUAGUUGGUAAGGUAACGGCUUACCAAGGCAACGAUGCGUAGCCGACCUGAGAGGGUGAUCGGCCACACUGGAACUGAGACACGGUCCAGACUCCUACGGGAGGCAGCAGUAGGGAAUCUUCCGCAAUGGGCGAAAGCCUGACGGAGCAACGCCGCGUGAGUGAUGAAGGUCUUCGGAUCGUAAAACUCUGUUAUUAGGGAAGAACAAAUGUGUAAGUAACUAUGCACGUCUUGACGGUACCUAAUCAGAAAGCCACGGCUAACUACGUG
rnacentral:rRNA from 1 species